rnacentral:rRNA from 1 species
AGAGUUUGAUCCUGGCUCAGAGCGAACAUUGGCGGUAGGCUUAACACAUGCAAGUCGAGCGAGGCGUAAUAGUCGAGCGGCGAACGGGUGAGUAAUACAUGGAAAUCUACCCUGAAGUGGGGGAUAACGUCCAGAAAUGGACGCUAAUACCGCAUAAUCCAUAUUGGGAAAGCGUUGCAGCGCUUUAGGAUGAGUCCAUGGCUGAUUAGCUUGUUGGUGAGGUAAUGGCUCACCAAGGCGACGAUCAGUAGCUGGUCUGAGAGGAUGACCAGCCACACUGGAACUGAGACACGGUCCAGACUCCUACGGGAGGCAGCAGUGGGGAAUCUUACGCAAUGGGGGCAACCCUGACGCAGCCAUACCGCGUGAGUGAUGAAGGUCUUCGGAUUGUAAAGCUCUUUCGGCGGGGACGACGAUGACGGUACCCGCAAAAGAAGUCACGGCUAACUUCGUGCCAGCAGCCGCGGUAAU